rnacentral:rRNA from 1 species
CGUUGCUCGGAAUCACUGGGCGUAAAGCGCACGUAGGCGGCUUUCUAAGUCAGGGGUGAAAUCCUGGAGCUCAACUCCAGAACUGCCUUUGAUACUGGAGAGCUUGAGUCCGGAAGAGGUGAGUGGAACUCCGAGUGUAGAGGUGAAAUUCGUAGAUAUUCGGAAGAACACCAGUGGCGAAGGCGGCUCACUGGUCCGGUACUGACGCUGAGGUGCGAAAGCGUGGGGAGCAAACAGG